CUUUCUGUGUCAUUGUGGUGUGCGUGGUGGACUCCGUUGCUCGCCAUGUCUUCUCACAAGACUUUCAGGAUCAAGCAAUUCCCUGCCAAGAAUCAAAAGGAAAAUCGUCCCAUUCCCCAGUGGAUUUGGAUGAAAACUGGUAAUAAAAUCCGGUACAACUGCAAGAGGAGACAUUGGAGAAGAACCAAGCUGGGUGUAUAAGGAAUUGCACAUGAGGUGGCACAUAUAUUUAUGUUGAAUCAUGGUCACCGUCAUCUUGCCAUUAUCAAGUUGAAAAUCUCUACAGUCGAGAAGUCAGAC